UGGGGAAUAUUGGACAAUGGGCGAAAGCCUGAUCCAGCCAUGCCGCGUGUGUGAAGAAGGUCUUCGGAUUGUAAAGCACUUUAAGUUGGGAGGAAGGGCAGUAAGCGAAUACCUUGCUGUUUUGACGUUACCGACAGAAUAAGCACCGGCUAACUCUGUGCCAGCAGCCGCGGUAAUACAGAGGGUGCAAGCGUUAAUCGGAAUUACUGGGCGUAAAGCGCGCGUAGGUGGUUCGUUAAGUUGAAUGUGUAAGCCCCGGGCUCAACCUGGGAACUGCAUCCAAAACUGGCGAGCUAGAGUAGGGCAGAGGGUGGUGGAAUUUCCUGUGUAGCGGUGAAAUGCGUAGAUAUAGGAAGGAACACCAGUGGCGAAGGCGACCACCUGGGCUCAUACUGACACUGAGGUGCGAAAGCGUGGGGAGCAAACAGG
rnacentral:rRNA from 1 species